GAUGAACGCUGGCGGCGUGCCUAAUACAUGCAAGUCGAGCGAACGGACGAGAAGUUUGCUUCUCUGAUGUUAGCGGCGGACGGGUGAGUCACACGUGGAUAACCUACCUAUAAGACUGGGAUCACUUCGGGAAACCGGAGCUAAUACCGGAUAAUAUUUUGAACCGCAUGGUUCAAAAGUGAAAGACGGUCUUGCUGUCACUUAUAGAUGGAUCCGCGCUGCAUUAGCUAGUUGGUAAGGUAACGGCUUACCAAGGCAACGAUGCAUAGCCGACCUGAGAGGGUGAUCGGCCACACUGGAACUGAGACACGGUCCAGACUCCUACGGGAGGCAGCAGUAGGGAAUCUUCCGCAAAGGGCGAAAGCCUGACGGAGCAACGCCGCGUGAGUGAUGAAGGUCUUCGGAUCGUAAAACUCUGUUAUUAGGGAAGAACAUAUGUGUAAGUAACUGUGCACAUCUUGACGGUACCUAAUCAGAAAGCCACGGCUAACUACGUG
rnacentral:rRNA from 1 species